ACCACCACAUUCGCCGCCGGGAACCCUCCGCUCCCCGCCGUCCCCGUCCCUCUGCUGACUGCUCAGCUUACAAACCACGCUAACCUCUUCCUAAAUCUUCGGGUAACUCCAAAUUUCGAAAGCCCCCGUCGCUGCUGCCUCGCCGCGGCGCAAAAUCAACCGCCCCCCCUCCCAACUUCCUCCCCAGAACCCUAGCCCCCGGCCGCCACCGCCGGCCAUGGCGGCGCCUCGGGAGCUGGACCUCUCCGACGAGGUCGAGGGCGAGAUGGACGGCACCACCGACUUCGUCUUCCGCCUCGUCGGCGACCCCAUCCCCGUCCUACCCCCCGCCUCCGCCCCGCUCCCCCUCUUCGACCUCCAGUCCCCUCCCGCGCGCCCGCUCGCCGUCUCCGACCGCCACGCCGCGGUCUUCCUCGCUCACCCCAACGGGUUUAUCGCCGCGAGGACGAAGGCGUUGAUCGAGGCCAGCAAGGAGGCCAGGGAGAAGGGCAAGGCGAGCACCCGCUGCGCGCAGGACUGCUGCGUCACCGACGUGCCCCUCCCCGGCGUCACUCUCCUAGCGCUCUCCCGCGAUCAGUCCGUGCUAGCUGCCUGCACGGGCACUGAGAUCCAGUUAUUCUCGGCUACUUCCUUGCUCACCGAUAAGGAUAUCAAGCCGUCAUCAUCAUGUAGCAUGGGACGAUCUGGCACUGUCAAAGAUUUCAAAUGGCUAGAUAAUGCCUAUAUUAUACUCUCGAAUGGUGGAUUGCUAUCUCAUGGGAGUUUGGGGCAAGGCCUGAAGGAUAUAAUGGAAAAUGUUGAUGCUGUUGACUGUUCCAAGGACGGGAACCAUAUUGCUGUGGCAAGAAAGAAUUCACUCAGGAUAUUAUCACCAGAUUUGAAGGAAACAUGUUGCAUGGCCCUCUUGUUUCAGUUGUGGCCUGAUAGUGAUUCAGAGGGCACUGACAUCAAAGUGGAUUCCAUCGGGUGGGUUCGCGAUGAUAGCAUUGUUGUCGGUUGUGUUCGAUUGAAUGAAGAAAGCAAUGAAGAGGGUUAUCUGGUCCAAGUUAUAAGAAGUGGAGGAGAUACAUUUUUUGAGAGCUCAAGCAAGCCAGUUGUUUUUAGCUAUGAUGUUUUCGGAGGUAUCAUGGAUGAUAUUUUACCAUCUGGAGUUGGACCAAAUCUGCUAUUGGGCUAUCUGCAUCGCUGGGAUCUCCUGGUUGUUACAAAUAAAAAGAGCACCGAUGACCACAUUUCUCUUUUGAAAUGGCCGUCGAGAACUGAUGAGGAAAGAACUGUGGUAUACCUCGAAAUGGUGGAGGAUAAAUAUAGUCCUAGGAUUGAUCUGCAAGAAAAUGGUGAUGACAAUGUUAUAUUGGGGUUUGGUGUGGAGAAUGUUUCGUUAUUUCAGAAGAUCACAGUACUGGUUGGACCUGAACAGAAGGAGGUUGCCCCUCAACAUCUUCUACUUUAUUUGACUAGUGAAGGGAAACUAAUUAUUUACUAUCUUGCCAGGAUUUCUGACCCGUCCGAUUUACCUCAAACAAGUCUGUCUACCAUUGAGGAUAGUAAUGUGAAUAAACAAAUUUCUCCUGCAACUGCGUCUAAUAAGGAUCUGACUCCAAGUGUUACAAGCUCAAUGGCCAAGAGUCUGCUCGCAGGACCUGGGGCAUCUAGCGCACCAGCAGAGAAAGAUCAGCAUGGAUCAGGAGAUGCAAAGAGCAGUUUCCCAAUUUCAAAUAGCAAGGACAUAGCUGCUGGCAGUUCAUUGCUUAUCUCUUCUGAUAAGAAGCCAUUGGAUACCAAGCAAGUGAACACGGCUUCCCCAUUUGCACCUCCUUCUAGCUCAGCACCAACAGGCAACAUGAAACCUGGAAUGCCGUUCAGCUUUUCAACAGGUAAUAAUGUUGGUCUAAAUUCAACAGGAAGCAAGGGAUCUAGUGAACCAGUAUCUUCAUGGCAACCGAACACCAGCGGCAGUUUUGUAAGCAGCCAACUUGGUAAAGGUGGCUUCGAUUCAGCCAAACCACUGGGAGCAUUUGGGGGGUCUCAGAACGCUACAAAAAGUGGUGGUAGCCUUAGUUUUAAAUCAUCAGUGUUCAGCUCAGAUGGAUCUGUUCCAGUUAAGACUGCAGAAAGGGAUGGGGCUAGUAGUUUCGGAAGCUACCCAGCGCAAACCAGCUACACUACUGAGAGGAAAGUUCUUGGUUCCUCAGCUGGCUUAAGUUCUGUGCCAUCAUUGUCGAUUUCUCCAAAUAAACCAGUUGGAGCUUCAUCUGCUGGGUUUGGGGCAGGAAAUCUUGAAGUACCUCCUGUCUCCCGUGGAUCACCUCUGCCACAACAAACCAUUGGCAAAUCACCCAACAACAGGAACCAUACGUCAGCGGAUUCAAAAAAUUUCAAGUUGGGCACAAUGUUUGAUACCCAACAAGAUCUAUCUAAGAAGAUUUACAGUAUAAAUGAUAUGACCGAGGAGUUAGAUACCCUCCUGUCAUACAUAGAAAAAGAUGGUGGUUUCAGAGAUGCUUGCAUGACCUUGCAGCAGCGUCCUCUUUCAGUUCUUGAGGGUGAUCUGCAAAACCUCUUGGAACUAUUGCAGGUCUUCAAGAACAAAGUAGAGGAACAAUGUUCAAAAGCUGAAGAUCUUCGAAAUAAGAUGUUCCAAGUUUCUGCUAGGCAAGCUUAUAUGAAGGGAAUUCUCACUCAGUCUUCAGAUACUCAGUACUGGGAUAUAUGGAACCGCCAGAAUUUGAGUCCAGAAUUUGAGGCAAAGAGGCAAAAUAUUCUCAAAGCUAAUCAGGAUUUGACAAAUCAGCUGGUAGAGCUGGAGAGGCACUUCAAUAAUCUGGAGAUGAACAAAUUUGGUGAAACUGGAAGAGUUGCUUCAAGUCGUAGAGCUGUUUAUUCCAACAAGUCACGGUCUAGUCAGACACAGUUAUCCAGCGUGUACAAUGCACUGAAUUCGCAAUUAGCAGCAGCAGAGCAACUAUCUGAAUGCCUUUCAAAGCAGAUAUCUGCACUAAAUAUAAGUUCUCCUUCUAAGAAGCGAGGGGCAGUGACCAAAGAGUUGUUUGAAUCAAUUGGUCUAGCCCAUACGGCAGAUGCAGCCAAAUUUUCAGGCGGUACCCCUUCCAAGUUAAUUCAAAGGUUUCCAUCCACGAAAGAGCACACAAAGGGCAUGCUGGGACCUUCCAAGAGUGCUGAACCUGAGACUGCACGAAGGAGGAGAGAGUCACUGGAUAGGAGUUUGGCUAGUUUGGAGCCUCAGAAAACUACUGUAAAGAGAAUAGCGCAGCAACAACGCCUCAAGAUUAGCAGUGAUCUCCCAUUCAGGUCAAACAAGAAAAUGUUUGAUUCUCAAAUGGCAGCUAUCUCCCAGGAAACUUUUGGUGGUAGCCCCAGUUCAUCAAUAGUCGAAUCAUAUACUAGCAGGGUUCGUUCUCCAAUUGAAGUGCUGGAUGAGAAAACAAAACCGUCAGGACCCCAGGGCAACUCUUUGUUCAAAUGGGUAAAGGAACCAGCUGGGUCAUCUCAGGGUUCAGAGCAAAAGCAUCUUGACUUAUCAGGGCGAAUGAGAAGUGCUGAUCAGUCUUCAAAGUUGACACCAUCUUCACCGGCAUCAUUCAGUUACACACAGAAGGAUGCAAGGGAUAGGACCAGCACACCUAAUGUUGCAUCUUUAGGCACAAUGCAUACCGUGCCUAAGUCAAAUACUCUGACCUUCAAAACCAAUAUAGCUCCUAAAACUAACACCAAUACACGGCCAGAUAUGUCACCUUCAGUGUCGAGCCCGAUGCCUGUCAAAACUUUGUCUGGGGAUUCUGGAGCUGGAUUUACCUUGACUACAAAGAACAGAUAUGGUGACCAGGACGUACCAUCUUUUGGAAGCAUGAAAGGGUUUGGCAUUUCUCCACAGAAUACAGGUGUUAAUAAACCAUCUUUGUCUUCUGAACCUUCUAAGCCUGUUGUGUUGCAUGGGAAGACUUUCCAAGUUAGUGGAGUCAGUGAUACUAUGCAGAACUCAGCCAAAGCUUCACCCCAGGUGGCAUUUUCACCAACAUCACAGUCAUCUUCAUUUCCUAUAAUGUCAGGUGCUUCCUCUUCAGCUGCAUCGCUCUUAUCAACCAUGCAAGCAUCAGCUGCAAAGACUUCUGAUGUUUCAUCUCCAACGGUUUCUUCCACACUCCCACCACAGGAGUCAGCACCAAAAACUCACCCAACAGUACCUGAGGGUACCGUGUCUUGUUCCCUGCCAUCUAUACCAACACCUGUUAAGGAGUCAUUACCUGGCUUGAAUAAAAAUGCAUCUACUAAACCUGAAGUGGUGGCACCAGAGGUAACUGGAACCACAGUCUCUGUAAGUGCUACUUUAACAGGCGUACCUACAAGUGAAAGCAAAACUGCAUUGCUUCCGGUGACCAAUAGCAGCUUACCUUCUAAUCCUCCAUCCAUUCCUGUGCCUAAAGUUGUGCCAGGGGCAACAGAAUCUGCUGUUGUCACUUCCACAAGAAAAGAUGGAGGACCAAGCAAUCUCUCAUCAGAUGAAGAUGAAAUGGAUGAGGAGCGUCCUUCUGCAAGUGCAGAUCUAAACUUGGGAGCCCUUAGUGGGUUUGGUCUUGGGUCCGCACCUUCUUCAAGUCCUAAAAAAUCCAAUCCUUUUGGGAGCGCAUUUGGUACGUCUGAGAGUAAAAGUUCAAGCUCACCGUUUACUUUGACCACCAGCCCAGGACAGCUUUUCCGUCCAGCAUCACUGAGCAUUCCUUCAUCUCAGCCAGCACAGCCAUCUCAAUCAACUAGCUCAAGUACAUUUUCUAGUGCAUUCUCAAGUGGGCUUGGUGGAUUUGGACAGUCUGCACAGAUUGGAUCAGGGCAGCAGUCGGGAUUUGGGCAGUCUGCACAAAUUGGAGCUGGUCAGCAGGCAGGUUUUGGGCAGCCAGCACAAAUUCAGUCAGGAUUUGGCCAGCCGGCACAAGUUGGAGCUGCGCAACAGUCAGGAUUUGGGCAGCCUGCACAAAUUGGGGGUGGGCAGCAGUCAGGAUUCGGGCAGCCUGCACAGCUUGGUGCUCAGCAGGCGCUUGGAUCUGUUCUGGGUUCUUUUGGACAAUCACGCCAGCUAGGAGGCUUUGGUGGAUUUGCUAGUUCCUCUUCUGGGGCUUUUGCUUCUGCACCUUCCAGUAAUUCUGGAUUUGCUGGUGCUGCAGCAGGUGGAGGUUUCUCUGCAGCUGCUACUUCUGUUGGUGGAGGGUUUGCUGCUGCUGCUACCGGUGGAGGGUUUGCUUCUCUUGCCUCCAAAAGCGGUGGUGGUUUUGCUGCCGCAGCUUCAUCUUCUGGUGGUUUUGGAGGUGCAGCCCAGGGUGGUGGUUUUGGAGGUGCGGCCCAGGGUGGUGGUUUUGGAGGUGCGGCCCAGGGUGGUGGUUUUGGAGGGGGUCUCGCCAUUGCCAGGUACCUUGUCAGCAAAAGACAUCUUGAGAGAAACUGGCCGCUGAGGCUGCCAGGUGCUUACACAGGGAUAAAAAACAAAAGCAUACGAUGCCAAGCACUUGUUAACAAGCAACGGCCACAACUUAAUGCGGAAGGAAUCCGGCAGGUGCUUGGAACAGAACAUAUGCACGCACGUACGCCUCACUCAGUUACAGGGACGCCCACAGUACUAGAGCCAAACCAACCAACAAACAGUGAAGCUGCGGCGUCGGCUUCAAAGCUCACCUCCCCAGCGUUCCUUUGGGAGAUGUAUCACCAGCAGCAGCAGCAGUUUCAUGAUCACAGGCAGCACAUGUCCUCGAGGCCUAGCUUGUCCCCGGAGAAGAAGUUCUUCAUGAAGGGCCAAGGAGGGGCAGGAGGAGGAGGAGAUUCGGGGCUCAUCCUGUCGACGGAUGCGAAGCCUCGGCUUAAGUGGACUCCUGAGCUGCACGAGCGGUUCGCGGAUGCGGUGAAGAAGCUAGGAGGGCCUGACAAAGCUACGCCGAAGGCAAUCAUGAGGGUCAUGGGAAUCCCGGGAUUAACUCUGUACCAUCUUAAGAGCCACCUCCAGAAAUUCAGACUUAGCAAGAAUCUCCAAGCGCAAGCUAAUGCCGUCAAUGCAAAAAAUGUUUAUGGCUUUGGCACAGCGACGGAUAAAGCGUGUGAAGGGCAUGGAUCAUCAGGUGAUCACCUGAACCGAGAGACGAACACCAGCAGGUCUAUGCACAUAAACGACGCCCUCCAAAUGCAAAUUGAGGUCCAGAGACGACUGCACGAGCAAAUAGAGGUACAAAGGCACCUGCAGCUCCGGAUCGAAGCCCAGGGGAAGUACCUGCACUCCGUGCUGGAGAAGGCGCAGGAGGCGCUCGGGAAGCAGCACGUCGUCGCCGGCCUCGAGGCGGCGGAGCCCACGCAGCGGCUGCCGGAGCUAGCCUCGUCGGUGAGACGAGGAUUACUCCAGAACGACGGCUCGGCCGAUGACAGCUGCCUGACCGCGUCCGAGGACAUCCUCUCCAUGGGCCUCUCCGCGUCUGCCACCCGUAGAGGCUGCGGCGCUCCGUUCGAAACCUCGGCGAGCGCGAGCCGCGAGGAGGACGAGGAAUGCUACCUGUUUCUCGGCAAGCCUGAGGGGCGGCGUGAGGUCAGGAGGGACGGGUGCAACGGUGGCGCGGCGUUCGGGAAGGCGGCGGAGCUGGACCUUAGCAUCGGCGUCGUCGCGGCGAGCAGCAGGCGGCGGCCGGACGGCGGCGACAGGCUUGACCUGAACGGAUCAGGCUGGAACUGAGUGAGAGGAGCAAGUGAGAUGCAUGCAAGCCAUGCAUGGCGGAAGCGUUCUUGCUCUGAACAUGAUCAUGCAGAGUUUCAGAAGCAGGCGCAUCCGUGCAUGGAAAGCCAGAACGGCAGGACAAGAGUGACGUGGUGGCCUCCUGUAAUGUCUCACAGUCUGUAUGCUGCAGCUGUGAUUCGGUGAAAUAGUCAUUUUUUGUCACGAUGGCUCUUGUGUCAUG